AGUGAACGCUGGCGGUAGGCCUAACACAUGCAAGUCGAACGGCAGCACAGUAAGAGCUUGCUCUUACGGGUGGCGAGUGGCGGACGGGUGAGGAAUACAUCGGAAUCUACUUUUUCGUGGGGGAUAACGUAGGGAAACUUACGCUAAUACCGCAUACGACCUACGGGUGAAAGCAGGGGAUCUUCGGACCUUGCGCGAUUGAAUGAGCCGAUGUCGGAUUAGCUAGUUGGCGGGGUAAAGGCCCACCAAGGCGACGAUCCGUAGCUGGUCUGAGAGGAUGAUCAGCCACACUGGAACUGAGACACGGUCCAGACUCCUACGGGAGGCAGCAGUGGGGAAUAUUGGACAAUGGGCGCAAGCCUGAUCCAGCCAUACCGCGUGGGUGAAGAAGGCCUUCGGGUUGUAAAGCCCUUUUGUUGGGAAAGAAAAGCAGCAGGUUAAUACCCCGCUGUUCUGACGGGACCCAAAGAAUAAGCAGCGGCUAACUUCGU
rnacentral:rRNA from 1 species